CAGGUGCAGCGCACUGGGCUUGCUUUGAUAAGUCCCCGGGACACGUAUCAGACUUGAACGCAUGCCAGUUGUAUCCCGUUAAAUUGCCAUGGUUGAAAUGGCGCACUGGAAUGUGCUGACCCCCACCCCAUUCAGCUGGGAUUGUACCGCUGGUGUGUAUCUCUGUCACCAAAGGAAGGGCUUCCAGCGCCAAGAGUUCCUAGGCCCUGGGGAGAAAGCUGGUGGUGACCGCUGCAUGCAGAUGAAACUGCUGCCACUGGACAAGAACUCAACCAGAAAAAAGUUUAAUGAGAGGAAAGCAAACCCCCCAAACCCCCCCCCCCCCCACCCCAGCUGUGUAA